rnacentral:rRNA from 1 species
GACGAACGCUGGCGGCGUGCUUAACACAUGCAAGUCGAACGGUGAAGCGCCUUCCUUUUUGGUGGGUGUGGAUGAGUGGCGAACGGGUGAGUAACACGUGAGUAACCUGCCCCCUUCUUCUGGAUAACCGCAUGAAAGUGUGGCUAAUACGGGAUAUUCUGGGUCUGUCGCAUGAUGGGUCUGGGAAAGAUCUUGUUUCGGUGGGGGAUGGGCUCGCGGCCUAUCAGCUUGUUGGUGGGGUGAUGGCCUACCAAGGCGGUGACGGGUAGCCGGCCUGAGAGGGUGGACGGUCACACUGGGACUGAGACACGGCCCAGACUCCUACGGGAGGCAGCAGUGGGGAAUAUUGCACAAUGGGCGGAAGCCUGAUGCAGCGACGCCGCGGGAGGGAUGGAGGCCGUCGGGUUGUGAACCUCUUUCGCCAGUGAAGCAGGCCUGCCUCGUUUGUGGGUGGGUUGACGGUAGCUGGAUAAGAAGCGCCGGCUAACUACGUG